AUUGAACGCUGGCGGAAUGCUUUACACAUGCAAGUCGAACGGCAGCACGGACUUCGGUCUGGUGGCGAGUGGCGAACGGGUGAGUAAUGUAUCGGAACGUGCUCAGUCGUGGGGGAUAACGUAGUGAAAAUUACGCUAAUACCGCAUACGAUCUAUGGAUGAAAGCGGGGGAUCGCAAGACCUCGCGCGAUUGGAGCGGCCGAUAUCAGAUUAGGUAGUUGGUGGGGUAAAGGCCCACCAAGCCAACGAUCUGUAGCUGGUCUGAGAGGACGACCAGCCACACUGGAACUGAGACACGGUCCAGACUCCUACGGGAGGCAGCAGUGGGGAAUUUUGGGCAAUGGGCGCAAGCCUGAUCCAGCCAUUCCGCGUGCAGGAUGAAGGCCCUCGGGUUGUAAACUGCUUUUGUACAGAACGAAAAGGUUUCUACUAAUACUAGGAGCUCAUGACGGUACUGUAAGAAUAAGCACCGGCUAACUACGUGCCAGCAGCCGCAGUAA
rnacentral:rRNA from 1 species